UCAUUUGCUCAUUAAUUGUGGGCUGAAUGGCCUGACGAGGGUGAGACUGUCUCUUAGUAGAGUAUGUGGAAAUUAUUUUUUAGGUGAAGAGACCUAAAUAUGACCAAGGGACGAUAAGACCCUAUCGAGCUUUAGUGGAACCGUAAAGUUCAUGGGAGUAGUGUAUAUUCCAUUGUUUAUGGGAAUCUUUGGUUGGGGCGAUCAAGAAGUAAAAAAAACCUUUAAUUCUUAGAUAUUGGCCUAUAGGCGAAAGAUCUGGCAUAUUAUGCAGAUAAAAAGAAUAAGUUACCGUAGGGA
rnacentral:rRNA from 1 species